rnacentral:rRNA from 1 species
UACGUAGGGGGCUAGCGUUGUCCGGAAUCAUUGGGCGUAAAGCGCGUGUAGGCGGCCCGGUAAGUCCGCUGUGAAAGUCGGGGGCUCAACCCUCGGAUGCCGGUGGAUACUGUCGGGCUAGAGUACGGAAGAGGCGAGUGGAAUUCCUGGUGUAGCGGUGGAAUGCGCAGAUAUCAGGAAGAACACCUAUGGCGAAGGCAGCUCUCUGGGACGGUACUGACGCUGAGACGCGAAAGCGUGGGGAGCGAACAGG